rnacentral:rRNA from 1 species
GUAAGGAAUAUUGGUCAAUGGACGAAAGUCUGAACCAGCCAUGCCGCGUGGAGGAUGAAGGUCCUCUGGAUUGUAAACUUCUUUUAUAUGGGACGAAAAAAGGCUUUUCUAAGUCGUCUGACGGUACCAUAUGAAUAAGCACCGGCUAACUCCGUGCCAGCAGCCGCGGUAAUACGGAGGGUGCAAGCGUUAUCCGGAUUCACUGGGUUUAAAGGGUGCGUAGGUGGAUUGCCAAGUCCGUGGUGAAAUCUUCGAGCUUAACUCGGAAACUGCCAUGGAUACUGGUGAUCUUGAAUAGCGUGGAGGUUAGCGGAAUAUGUCAUGUAGCGGUGAAAUGCUUAGAUAUGACAUAGAACACCAAUUGCGAAGGCAGCUGGCUACGCGAAUAUUGACACUCAGGCACGAAAGCGUGGGGAGCAAACAGGAUUAGAUACCCUUGUAGUCC